rnacentral:rRNA from 1 species
GGGCGCAAGCCUGAUGCAGCCAUGCCGCGUGUAUGAAGAAGGCCUUCGGGUUGUAAAGUACUUUCAGCAGUGAGGAAGGCGGAGUCGUUAAUAGCGGCCUCGUUUGACGUUAGCUGCAGAAGAAGCACCGGCUAACUCCGUGCCAGCAGCCGCGGUAAUACGGAGGGUGCGAGCGUUAAUCGGAAUUACUGGGCGUAAAGCGCAUGCAGGUGGUUUGUUAAGUCAGAUGUGAAAGCCCGGGGCUCAACCUCGGAAUUGCAUUUGAAACUGGCAGACUAGAGUACUGUAGAGGGGGGUAGAAUUUCAGGUGUAGCGGUGAAAUGCGUAGAGAUCUGAAGGAAUACCGGUGGCGAAGGCGGCCCCCUGGACAGAUACUGACACUCAGAUGCGAAAGCGUGGGGAGCAAACAGGAUUAGAUACCCUGGUAGUCCACGCCGUAAACGAUGUCUACUUGGAGGUUGUGGCCUUGAGCCGUGGCUUUCGGAGCUAACGCGUUAAGUAGACCGCCUGGG